UUAAUGAGGCGAACCGGGGGAACUGAAACAUCUAAGUACCCCGAGGAAAAGAAAUCAACCGAGAUUCCCCCAGUAGCGGCGAGCGAACGGGGAGCAGCCCAGAGCCUGAAUCAGUGUGUGUGUUAGUGGAAGCGUCUGGAAAGGCGCGUGAUACAGGGUGACAGCCCCGUACACAAAAAUGCACAUGCUGUGAGCUCGAUGAGUAGGGCGGGACACGUGGUAUCCUGUCUGAAUAUGGGGGGACCAUCCUCCAAGGCUAAAUACUCCUGACUGACCGAUAGUGAACCAGUACCGUGAGGGAAAGGCGAAAAGAACCCCGGCGAGGGGAGUGAAAAAGAACCUGAAACCGUGUACGUACAAGCAGUGGGAGCACGCUUAGGCGUGUGACUGCGUACCUUUUGUAUAAUGGGUCAGCGACUUAUAUUCUGUAGCAAGGUUAACCGAAUAGGGGAGCCGAAGGGAAACCGAGUCUUAACUGGGCGUUAAGUUGCAGGGUAUAGACCCGAAACCCGGUGAUCUAGCCAUGGGCAGGUUGAAGGUUGGGUAACACUAACUGGAGGACCGAACCGACUAAUGUUGAAAAAUUAGCGGAUGACUUGUGGCUGGGGGUGAAAGGCCAAUCAAACCGGGAGAUAGCUGGUUCUCCCCGAAAGCUAUUUAGGUAGCGCCUCGUGAAUUCAUCUCCGGGGGUAGAGCACUGUUUCGGCAAGGGGGUCAUCCCGACUUACCAACCCGAUGCAAACUGCGAAUACCGGAGAAUGUUAUCACGGGAGACACACGGCGGGUGCUAACGUCCGUCGUGAAGAGGGAAACAACCCAGACCGCCAGCUAAGGUCCCAAAGUCAUGGUUAAGUGGGAAACGAUGUGGGAAGGCCCAGACAGCCAGGAUGUUGGCUUAGAAGCAGCCAUCAUUUAAAGAAAGCGUAAUAGCUCACUGGUCGAGUCGGCCUGCGCGGAAGAUGUAACGGGGCUAAACCAUGCACCGAAGCUGCGGCAGCGACGCUUAUGCGUUGUUGGGUAGGGGAGCGUUCUGUAAGCCUGUGAAGGUGUACUGUGAGGUAUGCUGGAGGUAUCAGAAGUGCGAAUGCUGACAUAAGUAACGAUAAAGCGGGUGAAAAGCCCGCUCGCCGGAAGACCAAGGGUUCCUGUCCAACGUUAAUCGGGGCAGGGUGAGUCGACCCCUAAGGCGAGGCCGAAAGGCGUAGUCGAUGGGAAACAGGUUAAUAUUCCUGUACUUGGUGUUACUGCGAAGGGGGGACGGAGAAGGCUAUGUUGGCCGGGCGACGGUUGUCCCGGUUUAAGCGUGUAGGCUGGUUUUCCAGGCAAAUCCGGAAAAUCAAGGCUGAGGCGUGAUGACGAGGCACUACGGUGCUGAAGCAACAAAUGCCCUGCUUCCAGGAAAAGCCUCUAAGCAUCAGGUAACAUCAAAUCGUACCCCAAACCGACACAGGUGGUCAGGUAGAGAAUACCAAGGCGCUUGAGAGAACUCGGGUGAAGGAACUAGGCAAAAUGGUGCCGUAACUUCGGGAGAAGGCACGCUGAUAUGUAGGUGAAGUCCCUCGCGGAUGGAGCUGAAAUCAGUCGAAGAUACCAGCUGGCUGCAACUGUUUAUUAAAAACACAGCACUGUGCAAACACGAAAGUGGACGUAUACGGUGUGACGCCUGCCCGGUGC
rnacentral:rRNA from 1 species